rnacentral:rRNA from 1 species
UCCAGACUCCUACGGGAGGCAGCAGUGGGGAAUAUUGCACAAUGGGGGAAACCCUGAUGCAGCGACGCCGCGUGAGCGAUGAAGUAUUUCGGUAUGUAAAGCUCUAUCAGCAGGGAAGAAAAUGACGGUACCUGACUAAGAAGCCCCGGCUAACUACGUGCCAGCAGCCGCGGUAAUACGUAGGGGGCAAGCGUUAUCCGGAUUUACUGGGUGUAAAGGGAGCGUAGACGGCAAUGCAAGCCAGAUGUGAAAGCCCGGGGCUCAACCCCGGGACUGCAUUUGGAACUGCGCGGCUGGAGUGCAGGAGGGGCAGGCGGAAUUCCUGGUGUAGCGGUGAAAUGCGUAGAUAUCAGGAGGAACACCGGUGGCGAAGGCGGCCUGCUGGACUGCGACUGACGUUGAGGCCCGAAAGCGUGGGGAGCAAACAGGAUUAGAUACCCUGGUA